AGGGUUUGAUCCUGGCUCAGAUUGAACGCUGGCGGCAGGCUUAACACAUGCAAGUCGAGCGGUAACAGGGGUAGCUUGCUACCCGCUGACGAGCGGCGGACGGGUGAGUAAUGCUUGGGAAGCUGCCCGAUAGAGGGGGAUAACAGUUGGAAACGACUGCUAAUACCGCAUAACCUCUUCGGAGUAAAGCGGGGGAUCUUCGGACCUCGCGCUAUCGGAUGCGCCCAAGUGGGAUUAGCUGGUUGGUGAGGUAAUGGCUCACCAAGGCGACGAUCCCUAGCUGGUCUGAGAGGAUGAUCAGCCACACUGGAACUGAGACACGGUCCAGACUCCUACGGGAGGCAGCAGUGGGGAAUAUUGCACAAUGGGCGAAAGCCUGAUGCAGCCAUGCCGCGUGUAUGAAGAAGGCCUUCGGGUUGUAAAGUACUUUCAGCGAGGAGGAAAGGGUGUACGUUAAUACCGUGCACCUGUGACGUUACUCGCAGAAGAAGCACCGGCUAACUCCGUGCCAGCAGCCGCGGUAAUACGGAGGGUGCGAGCGUUAAUCGGAAUUACUGGGCGUAAAGCGCAUGCAGGCGGCUGAUUAAGCCAGAUGUGAAAGCCCGAGGCUCAACCUCGGAAUCGCAUUUGGAACUGGUCAGCUAGAGUUCUUGAGAGGGUGGUAGAAUUCCAGGUGUAGCGGUGAAAUGCGUAGAGAUCUGAAGGAAUACCAGUGGCGAAGGCGGCCACCUGGCAAGUAACUGACGCUCAGAUGCGAAAGCGUGGGG
rnacentral:rRNA from 1 species